rnacentral:rRNA from 1 species
CCUACGGGAGGCAGCAGUAGGGAAUCUUCCGCAAUGGACGAAAGUCUGACGGAGCAACGCCGCGUGAACGAUGAAGGCCUUCGGGUCGUAAAGUUCUGUUGUUAGGGAAGAACAAGUGCUAGUUGAAUAAGCUGGCACCUUGACGGUACCUAACCAGAAAGCCACGGCUAACUACGUGCCAGCAGCCGCGGUAAUACGUAGGUGGCAAGCGUUGUCCGGAAUUAUUGGGCGUAAAGCGCGCGCAGGCGGUUUCUUAAGUCUGAUGUGAAAGCCCCCGGCUCAACCGGGGAGGGUCAUUGGAAACUGGGAAACUUGAGUGCAGAAGAGGAAAGUGGAAUUCCAAGUGUAGCGGUGAAAUGCGUAGAGAUUUGGAGGAACACCAGUGGCGAAGGCGACUUUCUGGUCUGUAACUGACGCUGAGGCGCGAAAGCGUGGGGAGCAAACAGGAUUAGAUACCCUGGUAGUCCACGCUGUAAACGAUGAGUGCUAAGUGUUAGAGGGUUUCCGCCCUUUAGUGCUGAAGUUAACGCAUUAAGCACUCCGCCUGGGGAGUACGGUCGCAAGACUGAAACUCAAAAGAGUAGUACGGACGNGNGAGAGCGACGACGACGACGACGGAGGGAGGAGG